AUAGGUUAGUCCUGCUAAUCCCACAUUGUACAUUGCUCUUGCCUCUGUUGAAACUACCUGCAUCAUCAAGUAAAAUUACUUUCAUCUUUUUCAUUUUAAUCAAAUCUAAUCUUACUGCUCUUGUGUUUUUUACAACUCUUGUUGUUUUCUUUCCCUUCUUUUUUGGGGUUUUUGGAUUUUUCAUUUAGAUUAUCCAGAAAAAAAAAUAUAUACAUGUGAGCUGUCGGCAGUCUCUAAUGUCUGAAUCAAAAUUUUCCUUUUGAGCUGGAACCAUGAAAAAGUUUUGAAAAACUCUUGAAUUUAUGUAUGAGUUUCCAUUUUUCCUAAUCCAGUAGGUCAACAACUACCAUUUUUCUUUUGCUAACAAUUAUUGGAUAAUUUGCUUUUUAAUCAACCUUUUUUAAUCUCUCACUUCUUUCCUCUCUCUUCUUUAAGGCAACAAAUUUCUGAAAAAUCUUUCACCCACCCACCUCCUCCACAUAACUUGCCUAGUAGCUGCUAUUGAAGAUAAAAAAAGCAAGAGGGUCCUAAUCAGUGGACCAAUAAUAAUCUAAGGCGAGCAUUUUGUGUAAUCCACAUUGUCAAGAAAGAGAAGCAUAUAGCAUUUUAUGUGAUACCUUUCCAAUGGCUUCAAACAGAGAAGCAUUGAAGGAAGCCGCCGUCAAGAUGACCUGAGGGAAGCUGGUGGCACCAGGAACCACAUUUGAAAAUUUCGUCCCUGGACCAACGUAAGAGACACCGUGCAAAGCCUCCGACCA